GACGGAGGAUGCAAGUGUUAUCCGGAAUCACUGGGCGUAAAGGGCGUGUAGGCGGACGAACAAGUCUGGUGUGAAAUACCUCGGCUCAACCGAGGGGAUGCGCUGGAAACUGUUAGUCUAGAGUACUGGAGGGGAAGCUGGAAUUCCUGGUGUAGGGGUGAAAUCUGUAGAUAUCAGGAAGAACACCGGUGGCGAAGGCGAGCUUCUGGCCAGUAACUGACGCUGAGGCGCGAAAGCGUGGGGAGCGAACAGG
rnacentral:rRNA from 1 species